rnacentral:tRNA from 1 species
UCUAUGGCGGGUUACCUAGACCGCUUAGAGUUUGACGGACAAAUCUACUGGGAGUUAGCG